CGACUGACCUAAAGGGGACCUAAUGAGAUAUAACCAUCCGAUCUUGAUCGAUCGGCAGGGAAGCUAUGAAAUCAUUUAUAGCGACCGUUUUAAUAGGAUUAAAUGACAGGAAUUCUGCCACCACAGACCAUAAUGAUUACACCAGGUGUACGGACCAAGCGUCUGUGCCGCAUCAACCAUGACGACCGUUACAGUGUCCGGGAUCCAUCAUCCGUGUUUCAUGAC
rnacentral:lncRNA from 1 species